UCUUAGGAAGUUUUUAGAACGUAAUAUUGAAGCUAUUAAAGAGGGUUACCCCUAGGAG
rnacentral:tRNA from 1 species